UACGGAGGGUGCGAGCGUUGUCCGGAAUCAUUGGGCGUAAAGGGCGCGUAGGUGGCUUCUUAAGCGUGCGGUGAAAGCCUGGGGCUCAACCCCGGGUCGGCCGUGCGAACUGGGGGGCCGGAGCACUGUAGAGGCAGGCGGAAUUCCGGGUGUAGCGGUGGAAUGCGUAGAGAUCCGGAAGAACACCGGUGGCGAAGGCGGCCUGCUGGGCAGUUGCUGACACUGAGGCGCGACAGCGUGGGGAGCAAACAGG
rnacentral:rRNA from 1 species